rnacentral:rRNA from 1 species
UACAGAGGGUGCUAGCGUUGUUCGGAAUCACUGGGCUUAAAGCGCGUGUAGGCGGGCCGGCACGUCGAUGGUUGAAAUCCCCCGGCUCAACCGGGGAAUGGGCCUCGAUACGACCGGCCUGGAGGGGGGUAGGGGGAGCCGGAACUUCCGGUGGAGCGGUGAAAUGCGUUGAGAUCGGAAGGAACGCCCGUGGCGAAAGCGGGCUCCUGGACCCCACCUGACGCUGAGACGCGAAAGCCAGGGGAGCGAACGGG